UACGAAGGGGGCUAGCGUUGUUCGGAAUUACUGGGCGUAAAGCGCACGUAGGCGGAUACUUAAGUCAGGGGUGAAAUCCCGGGGCUCAACCCCGGAACUGCCUUUGAUACUGGGUAUCUCGAGUCCGGAAGAGGUGAGUGGAAUUCCGAGUGUAGAGGUGAAAUUCGUAGAUAUUCGGAGGAACACCAGUGGCGAAGGCGGCUUUCUGGUCUGUAACUGACGCUGAGGCGCGAAAGCGUGGGGGAGCAAACAGG
rnacentral:rRNA from 1 species